rnacentral:rRNA from 1 species
AGAGUUUGAUCGUGGCUCAGGAUGAACGCUAGCGGCGCGCUUAAUGCAUGCAAGUCGAGCGAUGAGGGGUCCUUCGGGACUUACAUCAGCGGCAGACGGGUGAGUAACACGUAGGUGACCUGCCCCCGAGACCGGGAUAACGGGUGGAAACACACGCUAAUACCGGAUGACUUCUUAGGGUCAAAGCUAAGAAGAAAGCUCCGGCGCUUGGGGAGGGGCCUGCGGCCCAUCAGCUAGUUGGUGUGGUAACGGCGCACCAAGGCGAAGACGGGUAGGGGGUGUGAGAGCACGACCCCCCACAAUGGGACUGAGACACGGCCCAUACUCCUACGGGAGGCAGCAGCAGGGAAUAUUGCGCAAUGGGCGAAAGCCUGACGCAGCGACGCCGCGUGAAUGAAGAAGGCCUUCGGGUUGUAAAAUUCUUUUCUGGGGGAAGAGGAAGGACGGUACCCCAGGAAUAAGCGUCGGCUAACUACGUGCCAGCAGCCGCGGUAAUACGUAGGACGCGAGCGUUAUCCGGAUUUAUUGGGCGUAAAGCGUCUGUAGGCGGCUGAGUAAGUUGGGCGUGAAAGCUCCGGGCUCAACCCGGAGAGGCCGUUCAAUACUGCUCGGCUAGAGGGGGUCAGAGGGGCGUGGAAUUUCCGGUGUAGCGGUAAAAUGCGCAGAUAUCGGAAGGAACACCAGUGGCGAAGGCGGCGCCCUGGUGCCGCCCUGACGCUGAGAGACGAAAGCUAGGGGAGCGAACAGGAUUAGAGACCCUGGUAGUCCUAGCCCUAAACGAUGGAUGCUAGGUGUGGGGCCGAGAAGGUUCCGUGCCGGAGCUAACGCGAUAAGCAUCCCGCCUGAGGACUACGGUCGCAAGGUUAAAACUCAAACGAAUUAACGGGGACCCGCACAAGCAGCGGAGCGUGUGGUUCAAUUCGAUACACGAAGAACCUUACCUGGGUUUGACAUCGCCGUGGUAGCGAAGCGAAAGCGGAGCGACCCUUCGGGGAGCGGUGACAGGUGCUGCAUGGCUGUCGUCAGCUCGUGCCGUGAGGUGUCGGGUUAAGUCCCGUAACGAGCGCAACCCUUGCCCUUAGUUAUACGUGUCUAGGGGGACUGCCGGCGGGAAGCCGGAGGAAGGUGGGGAUGACGUCAAGUCAGCAUGGCCCUUAUGUCCAGGGCUACACACACGCUACAAUGGGCGGUACAAAGGGCAGCCAAGCCGUGAGGCGGAGCGAAUCCCAUCAAAGCCGUUCGUAGUUCGGAUAGCAGGCUGCAACUCGCCUGCUUGAAGCUGGAGUUGCUAGUAACCGUGUGUCAGCUAUAACGCGGUGAAUACGUUCCCGGGUCUUGUACACACCGCCCGUCACGUCAUGGGAGUCGGUAACGCCUGAAGCCGGUAGCUCAACCCUCACGGGGGGGCGCUGUCGAAGGCGGGACUGGCGACUGGGACGAAGUCGUAACAAGGUA